UACGUAGGGUGCAAGCGUUGUCCGGAAUUAUUGGGCGUAAAGAGCUCGUAGGCGGUCUGUCGCGUCUGCUGUGAAAACUCAGGGCUUAACCCUGGGCCUGCAGUGGGUACGGGCAGACUAGAGUGCGGUAGGGGAGACUGGAAUUCCUGGUGUAGCGGUGGAAUGCGCAGAUAUCAGGAGGAACACCGGUGGCGAAGGCGGGUCUCUGGGCAGUAACUGACGCUGAGGAGCGAAAGCGUGGGGAGCGAACAGG
rnacentral:rRNA from 1 species